rnacentral:tRNA from 1 species
CAGAAAAUAGUUUAUAAAAAUUUUAAUUUUGGAGAUUAAAGAUAGGAAGAAAUUUCUUUUUCUGA